CCUACGGGUGGCAGCAGUGAGGAAUAUUGGUCAAUGGGCGAGAGCCUGAACCAGCCAAGUCGCGUGAGGGAAGACGGUCCUCUGGAUUGUAAACUUCUUUUGUCGGGGAGCAAAAAGGGCUCGUGAGGCCACAAGCGAGAGUACCCGAAGAAAAAGCAUCGGCUAACCCCCUGCCAGCAGCCGCGGUAAUAGGGAGGAUGCGGGCGUGAUUGGAAUUUAUUUGGUUUACAGGGUGCGUAGGCGGGCUGGAAGGUCAGCGGGAAAGUUGAGAGGCUAAACCUCUUUCCGCCGUUGAUACUGUCGGGCUUGAGUGGGCGAGAGGUAUGCGGAAUGCGUGGUGUAGCGGUGAAAUGCGUAGAUAUCACGAAGAACUCCGAUUGCGAAGGCAGCAUACCGG
rnacentral:rRNA from 1 species